rnacentral:rRNA from 1 species
GACGGGGGAUGCAAGUGUUAUCCGGAAUUACUGGGCGUAAAGCGUCUGCAGGUGGUUUCUUAAGUCUACUGUUAAACCUUGAGGCUCAACCUCAAAUCAGCAGUGGAAACUAAGAGACUUGAGUAUAGUAGGGGUAGAGGGAAUUUCCAGUGGAGCGGUGAAAUGCGUAGAUAUUGGAAAGAACACCGAUGGCGAAGGCACUCUACUAGGCUAUUACUGACACUCAGAGACGAAAGCUAGGGGAGCAAAUGGG